rnacentral:lncRNA from 1 species
UGGAUCCUAUUUUGUCCUGCAUACACCUUAGUUGAACGUCCAGUUACCAGAAAGUAAGCUUUAGACAGAUUCUUUCCUGGAAUACUUGGUGUUGCCCACAUGUCGGUGUUGUACAAACUGAUCGGGAGCAAAUAACAUCAGUAACUUGUGCAAGAGACCUUAGGUAAUCACCUGGGGGCACCUGGCAUGUUUUGUCUGCAAACAGGAGAGGGAAUAAUGAUUAAUCUCAACUCUGCGUUAAGGUUUAAAUUGCACCAAAAGACGGGUGAAAAGCAUCCUCUCAGGCAGAGUUGUGCUCGCUCUUCUCCUGAAGAUGGUAUCAAUGAGGAUCCUCUGUGUGUUGCUGUGCCUCCACAUAGCCUGGGUCUCAGCCCAUAAUCUUACGUUAGAUUUUCUCUCUGACUCUUUUUGGAAGAACAUAAGUGUUUUAACAAAUCACAGAAAUUACAGGGAGCAGAUCUGACGAAACAAAAGCAGUUGUACCGGAGCUGGUAAUGCAGAGAAGGCACAGACCAUAUGAAAGUAAAGCUUUUAGUUGUUACUUUUAAGAGCCACUUGGGCCAGAGCCUCAGCCUGAGGCAAACGAGCAGGAAUCGGCUGGUUGUGCCAGUGGCGUUCCUGAUGGCUGAAGGUCUGGUUGUAAGGCUAGAAUUAGGAAAACUUUCUCCGUCUCAGAAUUAAUCACGAAUCCUUUCAAGCAUUAAUUCUGCUGCUCGAAAAGACUACAAUGUGUGCAGAGGAGUCCAGUCAGACCUAAUUACAUCUCAAGGCCUAAAAUGGUCUCCCUCACCAUUUAUGGAGAAGGAGUAUUUUCCAGCCUUUUACUGCACGAUAGCACAGUGAGGAACCUUUACGGUGUUUCGGUUUAGGGUUAGUUUGUAUAUAUGCACUUCUGCCUCUCGGCUUGCAGCAAAAGCUCACUAUAUUUAUAUCUCUUCUUUUCCAUUAGCACAGUAGAAUCCGUGAAUCAUUCUCAUUAUUAUUUUUAUUGCUGACUUUAUUACAUUUCUUCCUCUUUAAGCCAAGCAAUACAUUGCCCCAAGCUUAUAGUUAGCUUCUGUGAUUAAAAUCAGAAACGCUAAUGGGACGACGGUACUCGUACGUUUUUUAAGCCCAGUUCUGUGCAGACUGAAGGCGACGGAAGGAAAAUAGAAAUUGAGGAGCGUAAUGGCACAUGUUAAUGAACGUACGGCCGGUAAAGUAUUUGCUUUAACUUAAGCUAAAGCAAAUGAAGUUAAUAUUACAUUUACACAGCAUACAAGAUUGCCGUGCGAUGACGCGGCCAUAAAACAUCCUGAGCGCCAGCAGCUCCCUAGAGAGAGGCACUAAUUCGAAGGGGAGGAAAACCCUAUCCCGGCAAAGCAGACGAAAGUGUGUC